rnacentral:rRNA from 1 species
CAGCAGCCGCGGGAAUACGAAGGGGGCUAGCGUUGCUCGGAAUGACUGGGCGUAAAGGGCGCGUAGGCGGCGGACACAGUCAGGCGUGAAAUUCCUGGGCUCAACCUGGGGACUGCGCUUGAUACGGUCGAGCUAGAGGAUGGAAGAGGGUCGUGGAAUUCCCAGUGUAGAGGUGAAAUUCGUAGAUAUUGGGAAGAACACCGGUGGCGAAGGCGGCGACCUGGUCCGUUACUGACGCUGAGGCGCGACAGCGUGGGGAGCAAACAGGAUUAGAUACCCGCGUAGUCCCUGUCUCUUAUAC